CAUUAUUGCUGGAAUUGUAUUAUUCUCUCCUAUUGGCAGUCAAUAAAACACUCUGUUCCUCUGCAAAUUUCUUUCUUUACUUUUAAUCUCAUUCUUGUUAGUGCAAUCAUAUAUAUUGUGUCAAUAACUUCCCCGAUUUUCCAAACACUUUCUCCUUAAUAUCUGAACUACAUUUCUAUCACUAGCAAACGGCAAACCAAGGAGAUAGCACCAGUUUAUGCAGGUAUGGACAAUUUAUAAAGCACAUUAUAAUUUAUAAGAGUAUUUGAAUAUAUUGUACUAAAAUUUGGUAUUUCGGAGUAAUUAAUGAGGUGCUUUCAAUAAGAUUUCAGAUACUUUUUUUAAAUGUUAGAUACUUGAAACUCGAUCAAAUCUUUCAAUUUAGUUCAAAUAUAGUAAUUGUUCUUCGUUUUCUUUCAAUGAUUCCUAAUUUUGAAAUUGAUGGGGAUAGAUUUAAAAUAAUAUUGUGGACUCAGAUUACUUUUUGUCCUAUUACUCGAUUGAUUUAGCCUUAAUCGUAGUGUUAGCCAUAAAAAGACCCAAUCAUUUAAGAAAAUUUAUUGAGGUUAUAGUAUCAAUCUAUCCGUAUAACAUCAUGUAAUCGUGUAAAAAAGGCAGCUGAAGUUUUGUGGGGGCAAAAGAUGGGACUUGUAGGAAUGUAAUGGCCAUGAAUGUAACUUUAAAUACAAGGUUCAUAGUUAAAGAAAGCAACAAAACAUGUCAUAUGUGUCCUAACAAGAUUACAAUCGAGUGGACGAGAUGAAGACAGUCACUAGAAUGGCCCCAAUGAUGUGUAUAUGCUGACAAGCACGCGAAUGAAGAAUCAAUUCUCCAUGUUUAAAUAUGACAGCAGUUUGCUAUUGUCUGUCUACUCCUCUUGUCGUCCUGUCCAAUUUUAUAAUAAAACUAAGGCAAAUAGAUAAUAGCACUUCAAAUAUGGGCUUCCAUAGACAUGAUACGUGUGGCACAGGUUGUAAGAGUUCACGGCUUAUCAUAAAUUUGAGGUCAAGAUUCUUACUUGAAUAAAUGAAUUAUUGAAUCGCCUUGCAUUUUAAAGCUCUAAAUCUGUAAUUUCUUGUUCUCCAAUGGUUCCAAUUGCCGACUACAUUAGAAAAGGGACCAUUAUCCACAAAAUUUAAAGUGCCUAAUUUCGUGAGUUUUCAUGUUGAAAUAGUGAUUUUAGGGCCUUUCCAAUUUUGGUAUAUUUUUAAUACGAAUUUCACCAUUUUUUCUUGUCAUCUUUUACAUCUCUUUUUCUUGAAUAAUAAUUAGAGGUUACAUGACAUUUAAUGGAGGUUAUAGUUUGUAAGUUUAGUUUGUAGGUUUGUAUUUCAAAUUCAAACCACUCCCUCCAACUCUUUUUAUUAUCUUGCAGAUCGAUCACCCGAUAUGGACAACCCAUGACUUAUAUUUUCCAACACAGAGGUAUCAAGCUAGCUAACAUGAAUUCCAUGCAAGCUAUCAAGACCACAGCCUUUUAGUUUUAUGAUAAAAUUGGACAGGAUGACAACUGGUGUGGACACAACAAUAGCAAACUGCUGUCAUAUUUAAACAUGGAGAAUUGAUUCUUCAUUCACGCCAUUUGAGUGAGGUGUCUCAUUAUCUCGUGUAAAUUGUGUUAUUUAGAUUACGUAAGUAUUGAUAAAGUCAUAUUCAACUCAUAUAACUAGGGACGAAUCCAGGACUUCAACUUAGCUAGGGCAGCCGUUGAUUGUUGGCCAUUGACUGUCGAUAGUCAUCGGCCGUAUAGCGAUGCCAUUUAUUAAUAUUAAAUUAAAUAAUACUAAAAAUUCUUUGAACUAUAUAUAAAUACACUAAAACGUAAAAAUUGUAUAUUUAUAUCAUAUUAUAGUUCAAUACAAUCCGAAAUAAUAUAAAUUACAUGAUACAUAAAAUUUCUUUGUGUUAUCAAUGCUUAACAAAUCGUUUGCUUGACUAAGAGUAGUUGAGAGAUUAGAUACACCACUACAAGAACUAGAUUGAAAUUCGGAUGAAAAAAUAUUUCAUAAUCAAUAUGAGAAUUGAAAGUUAAUCAAAG
rnacentral:lncRNA from 1 species